rnacentral:rRNA from 1 species
AUUGAACGCUGGCGGCAUGCCUAACACAUGCAAGUCGAACGGCAGCACGGCAGUAGCAAUACUGUGGGUGGCGAGUGGCGGACGGGUGAGGAAUACGUCGGAAUCUGCCCAGUCGUGGGGGAUAACUAGCCGAAAGGUUAGCUAAUACCGCAUACGACCGAGAGGCGAAAGCGGGGGACCGCAAGGCCUCGCGCGAUUGGAUGAGCCGACGUCGGAUUAGCUAGUUGGUGGGGUAAAGGCCCACCAAGGCGACGAUCCGUAGCUGGUCUGAGAGGAUGAUCAGCCACACUGGAACUGAGACACGGUCCAGACUCCUACGGGAGGCAGCAGUGGGGAAUAUUGGACAAUGGGCGCAAGCCUGAUCCAGCAAUGCCGCGUGUGUGAAGAAGGCCUCGGUUGGUAAGUACGACUUUAUUACU